CUACGGGAGGCUCCAGUGGGGAAUAUUGCACAAUGGGGGAAACCCUGAUGCAGCAACGCCGCGUGGAGGAUGACGCAUUUCGGUGUGUAAACUCCUUUUAUUUAGGAAGAAAUUUGACGGUACUAAAUGAAUAAGCACCGGCUAACUCCGUGCCAGCAGCCGCGGUAAUACGGAGGGUGCAAGCGUUACUCGGAAUCACUGGGCGUAAAGGACGCGUAGGCGGUUUGAUAAGUUGGAUGUGAAAUCCUAUGGCUUAACCAUAGAACUGCAUCCAAAACUGUCAGACUAGAGUGAGGGAGAGGUGAAUGGAAUUAGUGGUGUAGGGGUAAAAUCCGUAGAGAUCACUAGGAAUACUCAUAGCGAAGGCGAUUCACUGGAACUUUACUGACGCUGAGGCGUGAAAGCAUGGGGAGCAAACAGGAUUAGAUACCCGCGUAGUC
rnacentral:rRNA from 1 species